UACGUAGGGGGGCUAGCGUUGUCCGGAAUCAUUGGGCGUAAAGCGCGUGUAGGCGGUUCGGUAAGUCCGCUGUGAAAGUCGGGGGGCUCAACCCCUCGGAUGCCGGUGGAUACUGUCGAGCUUGAGUACGGAAGGAGGCGAGUGGAAUUCCUGGUGUAGCGGUGAAAUGCGCAGAUAUCAGGAGGAACACCAAUUGCGAAGGCAGCUCGCUGGGACGUUACUGACGCUGAGACGCGAAAGCGUGGGGAGCAAACAGG
rnacentral:rRNA from 1 species